rnacentral:misc_RNA from 1 species
AAGUCGUAACAAGGUCUCCGUAGGUGAACCUGCGGAGGGAUCAUUAACACGUAUCCAAACGUUAUAAACCAAAACCGUGCUCCUCUUUUUGCCCAUACUGGAAGGUGUAUAUGCAAGCCAUAAGAUAGAUUCAGUUAGUUUCGGCUUUCUGUCUACUUGCAGUACUAUGAUCCCACCCGAGGAUCGAACCGCUCUGGUAUGGUGUAUCAAAAGCUAUCUUGGUUAUCAGUGCCACCCCGGUAUCGACCCGGAGCCUGGUAGCCUUAUUAAUCCUUCUUUUUAAACCCCUUUAUUUUUUACAAAACUACUGAUUCUUACUUUCAUUUUUUUUGAAAUGAAUGUAAUACGAAAUUGCGAACAACUCUUAGCAACGGAUAUCUUGGUUCUC